AGCGCAGCUCGGUCUUUUACGUCUGGAUUUGGGAGGCGUUGUGUCGUUUUCGGAACAAUGGCUCUCAGUGGCAUAACGGAGCUGUUACCUGGAGAUGUUCACUGAGGGGUCGCUGUCUUUCCACUGAAAGAGGCCAGUUUGCUGUGACCUUCCUAAGAUGUAACCCGUUUCUGGUUAAUACCACCAGAUUUACUUGUGAAAAAUCGAUAAGGAAAAGCUCUUCAUUUAACU